UGGGGAAUUUUGGACAAUGGGCGAAAGCCUGNUCCAGCAAUGCCGCGUGUGUGAAGAAGGCCUUCGGGUUGUAAAGCACUUUUGUCCGGAAAGAAAUCCUUGGCUCUAAUACAGUCGGGGGAUGACGGUACCGGAAGAAUAAGCACCGGCUAACUACGUGCCAGCAGCCGCGGUAAUACGUAGGGUGCAAGCGUUAAUCGGAAUUACUGGGCGUAAAGCGUGCGCAGGCGGUUUGCUAAGACCGAUGUGAAAUCCCCGGGCUCAACCUGGGAACUGCAUUGGUGACUGGCAGGCUAGAGUAUGGCAGAGGGGGGUAGAAUUCCACGUGUAGCAGUGAAAUGCGUAGAGAUGUGGAGGAAUACCGAUGGCGAAGGCAGCCCCCUGGGCCAAUACUGACGCUCAUGCACGAAAGCGUGGGGGAGCAAAACAGGAUUAGAUACCCUGGUAGUCCACGCCCUAAACGAUGUCAACUAGUUGUUGGGGAUUCAUUUCCUUAGUAACGUAGCUAACGCGUGAAGUUGACCGCCUGGGGAGUACGGUCGCAAGAUU
rnacentral:rRNA from 1 species